GUCCUUUCCAGUCUGCAAGCAUGAUGACUGGGUGUCCACGCAUUUGUGUGGCCUGUGCCUCCCUUAUAUCUUGUUAUAGCACCACCGUAUUACCCAUCCGAUG